rnacentral:rRNA from 1 species
GCAGUCGAACGGCAGCACAGGAGAGCUUGCUCUCUGGGUGGCGAGUGGCGGACGGGUGAGGAAUACAUCGGAAUCUACCUUUUCGUGGGGGAUAACGUAGGGAAACUUACGCUAAUACCGCAUACGACCUUAGGGUGAAAGCGGAGGACCUUCGGGCUUCGCGCGGAUAGAUGAGCCGAUGUCGGAUUAGCUAGUUGGCGGGGUAAAGGCCCACCAAGGCGACGAUCCGUAGCUGGUCUGAGAGGAUGAUCAGCCACACUGGAACUGAGACACGGUCCAGACUCCUACGGGAGGCAGCAGUGGGGAAUAUUGGACAAUGGGCGCAAGCCUGAUCCAGCCAUGCCGCGUGGGUGAAGAAGGCCUUCGGGUUGUAAAGCCCUUUUGUUGGGAAAGAAAAGCAGUCGGUUAAUACCCGAUUGUUCUGACGGUACCCAAAGAAUAAGCACCGGCUAACUUCGUGCCAGCAGCCGCGGUAAUACGAAGGGUGCAAGCGUUACUCGGAAUUACUGGGCGUAAAGCGUGCGUAGGUGGUUGUUUAAGUCCGUUGUGAAAGCCCUGGGCUCAACCUGGGAAUUGCAGUGGAUACUGGGCAACUAGAGUGUGGUAGAGGAUGGCGGAAUUCCCGGUGUAGCAGUGAAAUGCGUAGAGAUCGGGAGGAACAUCUGUGGCGAAGGCGGCCAUCUGGACCAACACUGACACUGAGGCACGAAAGCGUGG